GACGAACGCUGGCGGCGUGCUUAACACAUGCAAGUCGAACGGAAAGGCCCUGCUUUUGUGGGGUGCUCGAGUGGCGAACGGGUGAGUAACACGUGAGUAACCUGCCCUUGACUUUGGGAUAACUUCAGGAAACUGGGGCUAAUACCGGAUAGGAGCUCCUGCUGCAUGGUGGGGGUUGGAAAGUUUCGGCGGUUGGGGAUGGACUCGCGGCUUAUCAGCUUGUUGGGGGGGUAGUGGCUUACCAAGGCUUUGACGGGUAGCCGGCCUGAGAGGGUGACCGGCCACAUUGGGACUGAGAUACGGCCCAGACUCCUACGGGAGGCAGCAGUGUGGAAUAUUGCACAAUGGGCGGAAGCCUGAUGCAGCAACGCCGCGUGCGGGAUGACGGCCUUCGGGUUGUAAACCGCUUUCGCCUGUGACGAAGCGUGAGUGACGGUAAUGGGUAAAGAAGCACCGGCUAACCACGUG
rnacentral:rRNA from 1 species